rnacentral:snoRNA from 1 species
GGCCUCCUGGUGCUUACCACAGGCUGUGCUCCUAACAUUGACUAUACAGAUAAAGAGGUGUAAAAGUAAACCUACCCCACAUGCACUUCAACCAGGCCCUGUGGUUGGUCUGUAUUGGGAGUGGGAAGACAUGA